GAUGAACGCUGGCGGCGUGCCUAAUACAUGCAAGUCGAGCGAACGGACGAGAAGCUUGCUUCUCUGAUGUUAGCGGCGGACGGGUGAGUAACACGUGGAUAACCUACCUAUAAGACUGGGAUAACUUCGGGAAACCGUAGCUAAUACCGGAUAAUAUUUUGAACCGCAUGGUUCAAAAGUGAAAGACGGUCUUGCUGUCACUUAUAGAUGGAUCCGCGCUGCAUUAGCUAGUUGGUAAGGUAACGGCUUACCAAGGCAACGAUGCAUAGCCGACCUGAGAGGGUGAUCGGUCACACUGGAACUGAGACACGGUCCAGACUCCUACGGGAGGCAGCAGUAGGGAAUCUUCCGCAAUGGGCGAAAGCCUGACGGAGCAACGCCGCGUGAGUGAUGAAGGUCUUCGGAUCGUAAAACUCUGUUAUUAGGGAAGAACAUAUGUGUAAGUAACUGUGCACAUCUUGUCGGUACCUAAUCAGAAAGCCACGGCUAACUACGUG
rnacentral:rRNA from 1 species